rnacentral:tRNA from 1 species
GCCCAGGUAGCUCAGUUGGUAGAGCAGAGGACUGAAAAUCCUCGUGUCGCUGGUUCGAUUCCGGCCUUGGGCACCA